CGCGGCCUAUCAGCUUGUUGGUGGGGUAAUGGCCUACCAAGGCGACGACGGGUAGCCGGCCUGAGAGGGUGUCCGGCCACACUGGGACUGAGAUACGGCCCAGACUCCUACGGGAGGCAGCAGUGGGGAAUAUUGCACAAUGGGCGCAAGCCUGAUGCAGCGACGCCGCGUGGGGGAUGACGGCCUUCGGGUUGUAAACCUCUUUCAGUAUCGGCGAAGCUCCAAGGUUUUCUUUGGGGUGACGGUAGGUACAGAAGAAGCACCGGCCAACUACGUGCCAGCAGCCGCGGUAAUACGUAGGGUGCGAGCGUUGUCCGGAAUUACUGGGCGUAAAGAGCUCGUAGGUGGUUUGUCACGUUGUCCGUGAAAACUCACAGCUUAACUGUGGGCGUGCGGGCGAUACGGGCAGACUGGAGUACUGUAGGGGAGACUGGAAUUCCUGGUGUAACGGUGGAAUGCGCAGAUAUCAGGAGGAACACCGGUGGCGAAGGCGGGUCUCUGGGCAGUAACUGACGCUGAGGAGCGAAAGCGUGGGGAGCGAACAGGAUUAGAUACCCUGGUAGUCCACGCCGUAAACGGUGGGUACUAGGUGUGGGUUUCCUUCCUUUAGGGAUCCGUGCCGUAGCUAACGCAUUAAGUACCCCGCCUGGGGAGUACGG
rnacentral:rRNA from 1 species